rnacentral:rRNA from 1 species
AUUGUACGCUGGCGGCAUGCCUUACACAUGCAAGUCGAACGGCAGCGCGGGAGCAAUCCUGGCGGCGAGUGGCGAACGGGUGAGUAAUAUAUCGGAACGUGCCCAGUAGUGGGGGAUAGCCCGGCGAAAGCCGGAUUAAUACCGCAUACGACCUGAGGGUGAAAGCGGGGGAUCGCAAGACCUCGCGCUACUGGAGCGGCCGAUAUCAGAUUAGCUAGUUGGUGGGGUAAAGGCCUACCAAGGCAACGAUCUGUAGUUGGUCUGAGAGGACGACCAGCCACACUGGGACUGAGACACGGCCCAGACUCCUACGGGAGGCAGCAGUGGGGAAUUUUGGACAAUGGGCGCAAGCCUGAUCCCAGCAAUGCCGCGUGCAGGAAGAAGGCCUUCGGGUUGUAAACUGCUUUUGUCAGGGAAGAAUCUUCUGGGCCAAUAUCCCGGGAGGAUGACGGUACCUGAAGAAUA